AUCUUCCGCAAUGGACGAAACUCUGACGCAGCGACGCCGCGUGAGCGAUGAAGGUUUUCGGAUCGUAAAGCUCUGUCCUUGGGGAAGAAGGCGGCCAUUUAUUGUCACUUGACGUUACCCAAGGAGGAAGCUCCGCCUAACUACGUGCCAGCCGCCGCGGUAAUACGUAGGGGGCAAGCGUUGCCCGGAAUUAUUGGGCGUAAAGGGUGCGUAGGCGGCCUUUUAAGUCAGAUGUGAAAGACCACGGCUUAACCGUGGGGUUGCAUUUGAAACUGGAGGGCUUGAGUAUCGGAGAGGGUAGUGGAAUUCCCAGUGUAGCGGUGGAAUGCGUAGAUAUUGGGAGGAACACCAGUGGCGAAGGCGACUACCUGGACGAAAACUGACGCUGAGGCACGAAAGCUAGGGGAGCAAACA
rnacentral:rRNA from 1 species